rnacentral:rRNA from 1 species
UGAAUUAUCAUUAAAAGAAAUGAUAUAGAAUAUAUUAUUUUAUUUUAUUUUUUAAAUAUUUUAAAUAUAUAGAAAGAAACUAUUAGGGAAUCAUUGCAAUAUAUCAAAGAGAGAAAUUUUAAAUUGUAUAAAUAUACAUGAACUCUAAGAGAAAUUCAGUAAUAAACAAAGCAAAUUGAAAUAUCUUAGCAACUUUAGGAAAAGAAAUCAAAAGAGAUUCUAUGAUUAGUGAGAAUGAAAAUAGAGAAGCCUUCCAAUUCAUAUGGUAAAGAAAAAGGGUUUAGGAACAAAAGUAGUAGAUAAUAAUAUUAAAACAUUAUUAAUAUUUUUAAGCAAAAUUUUUAAAAUUUAGAUUAAUAUUAAGUAAAUAAAAGUUUUAUAAUAAAUACUAUAUUAUAAAAAUCUAUGUAAACUUAAAACCCAUAGUAUUGAAGCAAAUUUUGUUUUUAUCAAAAUAAAAAUAAGUAAAAUGGGUUAAAGCCUGUUUGAAGAAGUAAAGGGGAACCUUCCUCUAAGGCUAAAUAUGAUAUAUUGAGCGAUAGUGAAGAAGUACCGUGAGGGAAAGGAAAAAUUAGUAGUUUUAUAAGCAGCUUGAGAAGUAAAUUUAAAUAAUAUUAAGAGCGUACCUUUUGCAUAAUGGGUCAGCAAGUUAAUAUUAGAUGCGAGCAGUAAUAGCCAAGAUAACUCGAUCAAUACAACAGUGAGAAGUAUCUAAAAUUAGACCCGAAGCCUAGUGAUCUUACCAUGAUCACAGUUAUAAAAGCUGGAACGGGUUAUUGUUGCAUAAAUAUCCGAAGAAUUGUGGUAAGUUGGUGAAAGAUAAAACUGACUAGGGAUAGCUGGUUUUCCGCGAAACGUAUCUAAGUACGUAAUUAUUACUAACAUCAUGCAGGUACAGAACUAAGAUCUUACUAGGCUAGUCGAAGAGAUAUUUUUCAACAAGAUCGGGGAAUCGUGAAGAUUUUAUCGUUAAGUAAUAGGUCUCGAAAUAGCAGGGAUGAAUGUUUAAUUAACAGACAUGGUAUGCUAAGGUUGCAUGUCGAGAGGGAAACAGCCCAGAACAAGAGUAAAUAUAAGGUUCCAAAAUUAUUGUUAAUACGAAGUGAAAUGAAGAGAGUUUUUAUCUAUUUCGAUCAGAUGAUGGGCUUAGUGGCGGCCAUUUUUUAAAGACCUCGUAACAGAGUUACUGAUUCAAACACCGGAAACUUCCGGUGGAUAGAGACACCAAAAAUAUAUCGGAUCAAAACAAUAUACCGACACCUUGUCCAUAAUUAUAGUUGGUAUCCAUAUUAAGAGAUGGUCUGUCUAAUUUAAUUUUGGGGUAGCGGAACGUUGGGUAAUAUUAUUAAAUUAUUCUUUUUAAGAAUAAAAACACAUUAACCCAAGUGAGGAUGCUGACAUGAGUAACGAAAAAGGAAAAUUUUCCUCGCCUUAAGCUUAUGGCUUAUAUGAAGUAACGGCCUCUAAGUUAAUUGACCUAAUGGUCUAAACGAUGAAAAAAUCUAGGUUUAUUGCGACAACCUUGUAUGAGUGUAUAAGUGUUCUGGAAAAGCAAUUAAACAAGGUAAGGUAUAAAAGCGCUAUAAAUUAGUGUUUACUUUACCAUGAAAACCGUACCUAAGAACCAUGAGGUAAGCUAGUAGAGAAUACGAAGGCGCUUGAGUGAACAAUCAUUAAGGAACUCGGCAAACUAACUACCGUAACUUUGGGAGAAGGAGUGCCGACCCUACCGUUUAAUAUCGGUUGGGGUAAGGAAGCAUAGAAUCGUGUUGUCCGACUGUUUAAUUAAAACAAAGCACGCUGCAUUAAGAUGAAAGUCUAAGUAUAGAGUGUGAUGUCUGCCCGAUGCCGGCUGGUUAACGGAGUUUCUGGACUGCAUUUGAUUUAUGAAUGUUGGUCUGGUUUUGAAGGAUACCCCGGUUAAUGGCGGCCUUAACUAUGAGGGUCCAAAGGUAGCGAAAUACCUUGGCUACUAAAUAUAGUCUCGCAUGAAUGAUGUAACGAUACAACAGCUGUCUCGAUGAUUGGCUCAGUGAAAUUGGAAUGGCUGUGCAGAUACAGUCUACCUCUAGAUAGACGAGAAGACCCUAUGCAGCUUUACUGUUUCUAGUCAUUGCGUGUGAUCGGACCAACAGUAGGAAUAAGGUAGUCUUAUACGUAAUUGAAACACCUUUAUUAAUAAUUAAAUUUUCAAUAAAAAUUUUAGGGUAUUUACCCUUUACUUUAAAUUAAUUUUUCUAGCCGAGGGUAAAAGCCCCGGAGAGAAUUUUAAUAUAUUAAUUAGACGCUUUAACCGAUGAAUAAAACAAGUGGCGUUAUCUGGUUCGAAUCCAGAAAAUUAUCCAGAGGGCUGACCCCCCAGCUGGAUAUGUCGAGCUUCUUUAUUUUAGGGAUCGGCGCUAAGGUGUAUUAGCUAAGCUAUGUAACUAUAAAUCUUGAAUAAAAACCAAUCGAAAAGAAUAAUUAUUAUGGAACAAACAGAAUGCCAUCAUAUUUGUGUGCUUCUAAGAGCGGUGAUGGGGUUAAAGAUAAGUCUUUAACUGGGAAAUUCGGCUAAAAACAUGAGGGACUAAGAAUUUCAAUCAUAAAAUCUGAAAUCAUUUAAGAUCCUGUCUGGAAAUCGAUAAUAUAGAAGGUUUCCCGCGGGGAAAAGACCACGGGAUCUGUCGUAUUUAAUAGAAAACGUUUGAUGUCAAGAGGAAAUUUUACAGCCUUAAUGUCUAAUACAUCUUAUUCUAAUUUAAUUAAAAGUCACAAAUAUCUUUAACAAUAAUAAAUUGCGCCUAAAAGGCGCUAAAUUAAAUAAAAAAAUUACUGGGGAUUACAUAGCAGGAUUUGUACAAGGGGAAGGUUUAUUUUCAGCGAAUUUAACUAAAAGAACAAGAAAUAAACAAGAUUAUUACCAUAUAGAUUUAAAGUUUACACUUCAAGUAAAUCAAGAAUAUAAAAAUUUAAUAUUAGAAAUACAAAAUCAAUUAGGUAAUAUAGGUUUUUGACGUUCAGUUGUUAAAAAUAAAACAAUAAUAUAUGAGGUAAAAAAUCAGAUUGAUUUAUUAAAUAUAAUUAUACCAUUUUUUAUGAAAUACCAGCUUAGAGGUGAAAAGCUAAAUAGCUUUUUACGAUUUAAGUAUAUAGCCGAAGUAUUGCAUACUAAGGCACAUCUAAAUAAUAAAGACAUUUUAUUAAGUUUAGUAAUUAUAGCAAGCCAAAUUAAUAAAGACAAGUUAGGAAAUAAAAUCAGAUAUCUGAAACCUGAUCAAAUAUAUUAUGUUAUAAAUAACAUUCAACCUGAAGGGGUUGAUAUAAGUAAAUUAAAGGAGAGUCUUGAUAAUGUAAAAUUAAACCCUUUAUCUCUUGAUUUCGUUUGUGGUUUAGUUGAGUCUAACUCUGAUAAUUUUAAAAAGCUAAAUAUAGAAGAUCAAAAUUUUAUUAGAGAUAAUUUUUACCUAAAGGUGUAGAACUUUGAAAGUUCAAAGAACAUCAUCUAGAUCUUAACAAUAAUUUUACCCUUGCUAAAAAAAAUUCUUUAGUAGUUUUUGGUAAGAAUUUAAGAUGUACGGUAGGUGAUAGAUUUAGUCUUAAGGAAUUAGCAAUGGUAAAAUUACCAAAUCAUGUUAAAUAUAUAAUUAUAGGGUUAAUACUUUCUGAUGGAUAUUUCGGUAAAGGUCAAAGGAAUAAAAAUGUAUGAUUAGGCUUUAGCCAGUCUAUUAUUCACUCAAAAUAAUUUUUUUCGGUCUUUUUCUCUUUAUCUCAUUAUUGUGGCACAUACCCUAUUAAUAAUAGUAGGAUUGAUACACGGAACAAUAAAUCUUCAAUUAAAUUACAAUUAUCUACUAGAACAAUGCCUUGUUUAACAGAGUUAUAUCAUUUAUUUUAUGUCAAUGGUAUUAAAAAAGUUCCAGUGAAUAUAUAUGAUUUACUAACACCUAUAGCAUUUGCUCAAUGAAUUAUGGGAGAUGGUUCUAAAGGUAAUGGUACUGGUUUAUUAUUAUGUACUGAUUCAUAUUCUAUACUAGAUAUUGUAAGGUUAAUUAACGUACUAAUUAUUAAAUAUAGGUUAGAUUGUAGUAUACGAAAACAUGGUAACUACUACCGAAUUUACAUUGCUCAACGUUCUAUACCUUUGUUAAGAUCAAUUGUUCUUUCUUACAUGGAAGAAUCUAUGUUAUAUAAAUUACAAUUAUAAUAAUAAAGUAAUAGGAGCUAAGGGUGGGAUGACUUCAAGGUUUAUACUUUAAAUAUUAAAAUAGGGUUCAUUUUCAGCAGUAUUGACAAGCAAAACAAGAGAUUCAAAACGAUAUUUUAAUAUCUCGUUGGUUUUUACUAUUGUGCAGCAUGAAAAAUAUAAAGAUCUUAUUUUAGAAAUUCAAAAAUAUUUUGGGGGGUAUAGGUAACUGGUAUUUUAAUAAAAACGAUAAAACGAUAAGAUAUCAGGUAAAUAAACAAAGUGAUUUAUUAAAUGGCUGUGCAGAUACAGUCUACCUCUAGAUAGACGAGAAGACCCUAUGCAGCUUUACUGUUUCUAGUCAUUGCGUGUGAUCGGACCAACAGUAGGAAUAAGGUAGUCUUAUACGUAAUUGAAACACCUUUUUGAGUCUAUCACAUUGCUGGGGACAAUAGCGUCUUCCAUUUUACUUUGAAUCAAAGAAAAUGACUUAAUCUAUUUAUUAACCAGUGUUAAUUAUUCAAUAAUGGUAUAAAAUGUGAAUAUGACUAUUGUUGCCUGAGAAUUGUGUUAAGUGAAUUUCAUUUAACAAAAAAAGUUCGUGACACGGCCGUGCACGCGACACGAAUGAUUUGACCGCUUUUGGCGAUUCUAAAUAACUACAGGGUAGUGUGUUUUUUUCACAAGUACAUAAAAGUUGAUUUACACAAGGUAAUAAGUAAUGAGAACAACGGCUAGGUGGCAGUUUAUGCGGGGCACAGAUCCCAUAAAGAGUAGCUGGGUAUAUCCUAAAUUUUAGAAAAAUUUGGGGAAAAAGAUAUAUUUUUUUCUUUUGAGUUUUUAUUUAAUAUAUAAAUUUUAUAUAAAUUUAAGAUUUCUUAAGACGAAUCUGUAUAUAAGCGGAUAAGAUAUUUUACUUAUUCCCAUAUGUAUUUAAUCAUUAUCUUUUUAUGUAAAGUAGAAUUUAAAUUUUUAAAGCAAGUAAGAUUUUAACUAUAUCGGUAAUAGGUGUAAUAAAGAGAAUUAACAUUUUUUUAGCCGAAAAAUUAAAAUUUUUCGACAUUCGCACGUUUUCGCGGAAGUCUUUUGCGAGUUUAAUCAUCUUCAGGAUGCUAUCGAAAGGAUUUAGUAUCAGUGGGUCUUGGCUCUCGUAAAGAAUAUAAGAUGUAAUUAUGUAUUUAAAGUUGCUAAAAUCCAAUAUAUCAAUAUUGUGAAUAGUGAUUUUGAUAAUAACUUGACAAGUUUAAUGGCAUAAUCUUGCUUAACUGUCUGACCUACGCGUCUAUCAGUCGCGUAAGCGGGGCAUACGAUCAUGAAAUUCACAAAGGUCUGGUUUCAUAUCAUAGAAUAAAGUUACGCUAGGGAUAACAGGCUGAUUGCGCUUGAGAGUACACAUUGGGAGCGCAGUUUGGCACCUCGAUGUCGGCUUAGCUUAUCCUCAUGAACGCAGGAAGCAUGAAGGGUACGACUGUUCGUCGUUUAAAAAGCUACACGAGCUGGGUUAAGUAUUUAGCCCCUACAUAACGAGAGUUAUGUUUUUAUAUUAAAAAAUAAUAUAAAAAUCGUCUCUACCUUAUAAGAUUAUGAGCACGAUUGAAACACUGACAGAAAACGGUGAAGGCUAAGGUUUGAAUUUAUUUGAACUAAGUUAAUACCGUGGGAGAGCUAAGUAAAUAAAUAUUUAUUUGUCUUAAAGGCUUCCCGUAAAGACUCAAUAUAUUAAUAUUGGACUUAUAGUAAAAGAAUUCUAUAGGUAAUUCCGUCAGCAAUUUAAUAAUUAAUUCAAUGUUUUUUUAACAAUUUAAUAAUAAUUAAAUUUUCAAUAAAAAUUU